GGAAGUGAACCAUCUCAGUACCCGGAGGAAAAGAAAACAACAGUGAUUCCGUAAGUAGCGGCGAGCGAACGCGGAACAGCCUAAACCAGUGGGGCUUGCUCCAUUGGGGUCGUGGGACCAGAAAUAAAGGAUCCAAAGACUUAACGGAAAGGUGUGGAAAAGCCUACCAUAGAACGUGAUAGUCGUGUAUGUGAAAAGUUAAUGGACCGAUCUGGCACCCGAGUAAUGCGGGACACGAGGAAUCUUGCAUGAAUUUGCCGGGACCAUCCGGUAAGGCUAAAUACUCUCAAGUGACCGAUAGUGAACCAGUACCGUGAGGGAAAGGUGAAAAGAACCCCGGUGAGGGGAGUGAAAUAGUACCUGAAACCGCAUGCUUACAAGCAGUCGGAGGGCUUCGGCCUGACGGCGUGCCUUUUGCAUAAUGAGCCGGCUAGUAGAUGUCACAGGCAAGGUUAAAUGAUAAAUGAGCCGAAGCGAAAGCGAGUCUUAAUAGGGCGAUUUUAGUCUGUGGUAUCUGGACGUGAAACGGGAUGAUCUAGGCAUGGGCAGGUUGAAGCGUGGGUAACACCACGUGGAGGACCGAACCAGUUAAGGUUGAAAACUUUUUGGAUGACCUGUGCUUAGGGGUGAAAGGCUAAUCAAAUUCCGUGAUAGCUCGUUCUCGCCGAAAUAUCUUUAGGGAUAGCCUUGGACGAAUCAUUAUGGUGGUAAAGCACUGACUGGACUAGGGGCCUCACAAGGUUACCGAAUUCAAUCAAACUCUGAAUGCCAUAAAUGUUUAUCCAGGAGUCAGACUGCGGGUGCUAAGAUUCGUAGUCGAGAGGGAAACAACCCAGACCAACAGCUAAGGUCCCGAAGUGACAGUUAAGUGGAAAAGGAAGUGGGGAAGCACUGACAGCCAGGAGGUUUGCUUAGAAGCAGCAAUCCUUUAAAGAAAGCGUAAUAGCUCACUGGUCAAGUAGCCCUGCACCGACAAUAUAACGGGGCUUAAACUGUCCACCGAAGCUUUGGAUGACGAAAGUCAUGGUAGGCGAGCAUUCUGUAUGCUGUGAAGCGUUUUCCGUAAGGAGCGUUGGAGCGAUCAGAAAAGACUUUGUCGGCAUUAGUAGCGAUAACGUAUGUGAGAACCAUACGCACCGAAAACCUAAGGUUUCCUGCGUCAAGUUAAUCUGCGCAGGGUUAGUCUGUACCUAAGGCGAGGGCGAAAGCCGUAGUCGAUGGAGAUCCGGUUAAUAUUCCGGAACCAUGGGUAUGUGAUGUGGGUUGACGCAACAGGGCAGUCAAGACAGCUGAUGGAUGCUGUUGAAGUAAAUAGGCCGUCGUUUAGGCAAAUCCGGACGACACAAGGCUAAAUACACGGACGAAAGUACGUUCCUUCGGGAACGGAAUAAGUUGAUGACCCCAGUUGCCGAGAAAAUUCCCGUUCAUCUAUGCAUACUCCACUGGCAGUACCGCAAACCGACACAGGUAGGUGGGAUGAGAAUUCUAAGGUGCUUGUGAGAACCCUCUUUCAGGAACUCGGCAAAAUGUAUCCGUAACUUCGGGAGAAGGAUAGCCUCGUCAACCAAUGGCGAGGUCGCAGAGAAAUGUUUCAGGCGACUGUUUAGCAAAAACACAGGUCUCCGCAAAGUUGUAAAGACGACGUAUGGGGGCUGACGCCUGCCCAAUGCUGGAAGGUUAAGAGGAGUGGUUAGGAGCAAUCCGAAGCUGCGAAUCGAAGCCCCAGUGAAUGGCGGCCGUAACUAUAACGGUCCUAAGGUAGCGAAAUUCCUUGUC
rnacentral:rRNA from 1 species